rnacentral:rRNA from 1 species
ACGAACGCUGGCGGCGUGCUUAACACAUGCAAGUCGAACGGAAAGGCCCUGCUUUUGUGGGGUGCUCGAGUGGCGAACGGGUGAGGAACACGUGAGUAACCUGCCCUUGACUUUGGGAUAACUUCAGGAAACUGGGGCUAAUACCGGAUAGGAGCUCCUGCUGCAUGGUGGGGGUUGGAAAGUUUCGGCGGUUGGGGAUGGACUCGCGGCUUAUCAGCUUGUUGGUGGGGUAGUGGCUUACCAAGGCUUUGACGGGUAGCCGGCCUGAGAGGGUGACCGGCCACAUUGGGACUGAGAUAUGGCCCAGACUCCUACGGGAGGCAGCAGUGGGGAAUAUUGCACAAUGGGCGGAAGCCUGAUGCAGCAACGCCGCGUGCGGGAUGACGGCCUUCGGGUUGUAAACCGCUUUCGCCUGUGACGAAGCGUGAGUGACGGUAAUGGGUAAAGAAGCACCGGCUAACUACGUG